rnacentral:rRNA from 1 species
CUCCCCCGUUGCUGACCCCAGGUUCGAUAGCGCCAAUUAGGCGCCACCUCGCCAAGAAACCAGCUUCGGUGAAGCGACGGGCGGUGUGUGCAAGGAG